GACAGAGGAUGCAAGAGUUAUCCGGAAUGAUUGGGCGUAAAGCGUCCGCAGGUGGCCUAUCAAGUCUGCUGUCAAAGACCGGGGCUUAACCCCAGAAAGGCAGUGGAAACUGAAAGGCUAGAGGAUGGUAGGGGCAGAGGGAAUUCCCAGUGUAGCGGUGAAAUGCGUAGAGAUUGGGAAGAACACCGGUGGCGAAAGCGCUCUGCUGGGCCAUAACUGACACUCAGGGGCGAAAGCUAGGGGAGCGAAUGGG
rnacentral:rRNA from 1 species